rnacentral:lncRNA from 1 species
CGCCGGGCCGCGCGCACGUGAGCGCGCGCUGCGCGGGUUGCUAAUUUUAGCUCCGGCGGCUUCCCUGGGGUCCCGUGAGGUGAAGGGGAGUGGAGGGGACGAGGCGGGCAAGGAGCGUGGCUCUCCUCGUUCCUUCCUGCCCCGCCGUGGGUUUUCCUCGAGGACCGGGCCCGGCCCGAGGGGUGGGGGCCCGCGGGCGACUCGAGGUGCUGGAACGCGGGCGCUUACCGAGGCGAGAACCUAGGGGGUCUCCCCGCGUGGAAACCCCGCCCCUCCCUCGGCCUUGGACACAGUCGGCGCUCAAUAAAUGAAUCGAAGUUUCUUCCUGGACGGCGACCCUGGGCUUUCGGGAGAAAGCCAGAGGGGCAGGGUUCUGGAAGGUUCCCUGGCGGCUGGGGUGCGGUGCGGGCUGAAAUCCGAGCAGGAGCUGGGCGCGGCCCUCGGGGACCGACUAUGGGGGACGGCGCCGCGGGAGUGGGGCAAGUGCGGGCCUGGACCCUUGGGGCCACCGCGUCAGCAGUCGGCGGGGCCGUGGGAGGGACGGUGCCCGCCCGCUGUGAAGGGCGGUGGCCCUUCUAGGGUCAGGCCAAGCGCAGAGGCCUGAAGGUCACCGGGUGAGGAGCCAGCGCGGGUGCCUCAGAAGCCAAGCGCCCCGUCCCGAGCCCUGCGCGAACCAGUAUGACCUUCCAGGAACCAGAUGAGAGCUGCGUUUUCAAGAAGCAGUGCCAGACACCUUGGGAAAUCGACACUCUCCUGUCCUUGGGUGGGGGUGGGGGUCCUGGAAAGAAGCUCCGUCAGCGUAAAGUGAACUCUUAGCUUUGACUUUGCAGAGGGAUCCGUUGUGUCACAGUGACCCGCAUUCCUGUCAUUGGUGUGGUGUGUUUCACAGCCAUUGCCUCCCUAGGUAGAUUGUAAAACGGCGUUCGUAGAGCCUUUGACCUCAUAAUAUUAUGUUGGAAAUUACACGAUAGUAAACAUAAUGAUAAAUGGGGAAUGUUAAAUGGUAGUAUGGGAACAUUUUCUAAUGGUUGCAUCCUUAAAAUUUUCUGUUUCAAGUUUUUAAAGGCUAUAGCCUUAAAAAAAGCUGACUGUAGGAAAAUGGUGGAAAGAGUCGUGGAAUAAAGGUAGCUUUGGGGAUUAUGACGUGAAUAAAUGACAGAAAUUAGUAUGUGUCAUUUUCCUUUGUUUUCCAAAAAUACCACAAUGUCCUUUGUAAAUUGGAAGUUUUUCAGAUGUGCAUGUGGAAGCUGCAAGAUUUUUAGGGCUUUAUAUCCAUCUUAAAACUGGUUUUAAAGGAUUGGCAAUUACAAUCUAAUACUGGUAUUUGUAGCAAAUACAUCCAGAGGUAGGCAUACUGGUUUUUUAAUAUUGUUAUAUGGCAACAAAGGUCUCUUUGUCCUAAUUUGUAGGACAAAGUUGCAACCACAUUUUCCUCAAUGUAAUGCUUAUGGGGGGAGGGUCUUAAAUUGAUUUGAAAGCAGGUUGUAUUAGGAUUCUCCAGAGAAACAGUACCAAUAGGAUAU